rnacentral:piRNA from 1 species
UCCUGUAGGAAGGGGCUGAGGCCUAAGUUU